GUGGCUCAGAGGUUAAGAGCACUGACUGCUCUUCCAGAGGUCCUGAGUUCAAUUCUCAGC
rnacentral:tRNA from 1 species